GCCAAUGAGUGGAAAUUGUAACAACUGAAGCAAUGUCCAAUUGAUCCAACUUCUCUUCCAUGAACCUAUCAGGUAUUCACUUAUGUUAUUCCAAUUGACAGAAACAAAGAUUUUAAUUACAUGGAACGCCAUAAUUUCUAGUUGUUGUCUUAUGGAUAGAUUUAAGGAAGCCUUCUUUCUUUCAAGAAAGAAUUAGAUGGAAUUCGAAUAGAGCUGCAAGAAACCGAUCUUCUUGCCGUUGCUCCCAAGGUUCAUCCAGCCGGUUCUGAAACUAGACAAAUCUAAGACGACCUUGAACAAACUCAAACCCGAG
rnacentral:lncRNA from 1 species